GUCACGGGUUUAGGAUUUCUCAGACAUAAAGCUGGUGUGUGGGGAACGGAUGUGUUGGUUUUAUCCUUUAAAAGGCUGGAUAUGUAAUCUAGGAUAGGAGGCAACCAUACAACUAAAGGCAGAAGUAAAACGAAGAAGAUUUAAUCCGCAAAAUGAUUCGUGAUCCUCGCAGAGUAAAAUCAGCUCGGCCAUGUUUUCAACCUGUUGUACAUGAUGUUAGUCGUUACAUCAUACAUCCUUAUAUAGCUAAUGCAGAUGAUGAUACUCUCAUCAACAUAAUGACGUUGGUCAACUCUCAGAAAUACAGCGAAGAAUCACCAGAUAGACCGCAGAGUUGUGCGGGACAGCCAUCAAGGAUAUCGUCUCCGAUACCUUCACCAGCACACGCUUGGAGAUCGGCCAGUGUCUUACCUCCUUACCAACCCCUUUUUGAGAAACCUGGACAGAUUCAGAAACGUCAAGUUCAGAAGAGUGCUAAAUAUAGAUCUAGAUUAUCACAUGGUUCGAUAAGAUCAUCAAUGAACAACAGUACCAUUAAGUCAAGUCUGGAAGAUUUAUAUUUAGUUCCUGGUAAUCGACAAGAAGAUUCUCAUCGUAGAUUACAAACACCGUAUCGUCUGUCCACCGCGGGAGAGUCAUCCUCCCCAACUAAAGGUCGAUAUUUUGAUACAACCAAUGGUUUAUGUUCAAGUCCACGUCCAUCUCGUCAUUAUCUUCCACAUUGUUCCAUAUCACGGCGGCCAUUUACAGCUAAACACAGUGUACCACGUGUUAAAGUUCAAAAGAUUAAGUUACAUAAGAAACUGGACUCGGAACUAACUGAUGAGUGAUAUAUAAAAUCAGAACUAUAAAGACAUGUUAGGGUUAUCUGGGGUUUGAAUGUAUACACUGGAUGACUGUCUCUGAGGACACAACACCAUUAAUAGGCCUACUUCCAGUCACAAUUGGCCUCAAGUCUAUGGAAAUAGACCCACCAGUUAUUUCAUGAUAGUUCACUAAUUUGUUCUGUUUUUUUGUAUUUUUGUAAUAUAUUGGAUCGAGGGAGGGGAAAUCAAACUCUAAUGGCAUCUCAAACAUGUUGUUUGUUAACGCGACCUGUGAAAUGAAGUCAGUGAAAAGCGACCAGGUUAUUUAGCAACCACUUGCAACAGCAAGGGUGACCACCCUUCUGCGAUUAACACAAGAUCUGAACGGCAAAUUCAACCACUGUGCAAACCGUACAGUUUUUACCGCGGUAUGAUAAAGUUGGAACUUAAAAUUACAGAACGAAAAUAGAAUGAAACGAAGUCUACUUUCUGUUCUUAAUGGUCUCGGCGGUGAUCGUAGUCGAAUCAACGGGGUAGAGCGUGGAUACGGGUUGUGUAAAAUGACUGCUUCUCCACGUGAAAGGACAUAUUGGUGGCACUAAUUCUAGAACGACUUUCAUUUGAAUCAUCCUUAUCAACACCAUACGGACAACGGAUACAGAGGUUUUAAAAAUCUGAGAAAAGACGGACACCCCAUCAAAAGACGUGGCAGCCGUGCAUCCACCCCACCAAUCCAGAAACAAUGUUUGAGAAAUUUAUAUUGUUUUCGCCUACAUUCUAAAAGUUAAGGCCCACUGCAGAUUUGGUUAAAGGUCAAGAGGUGUAAACAGGGUUAGGGCUAGGGUUGGCUCCUUCGUGGUUAGAUCCAUUUGAUAAGUUUGGCCAAAGUUCACGAGAUGUAAACAGGGCUAGCGCUAAUCCCAACCUGAACCCUGACCCUGGACCUAGCCCUAACGCUUAUCCUAACCCUAACCCACAAUCUCGUCAAAAAUCACGUGCCCUAACCCUAUUUACAUCUCGCGACCUUGACGAAAUCGGUCAUGGGCCUUAACUUUUAAACUUUACGUACAUGAUAGACAGCAAGACAAUGAUCAUUCAAUUUCUGAUUAAAAGGAGAAGUAUGUAUAACAUAAAAGUGCCAGGAGAAACACUAAUAUAGUCGGUUCGGGUAGUUAUAUGUUUCAACCAUUUGGAACAGUUGUUGAUAAUAUAAUAAUUACUAUCAUGUGAUAGCACCGGAGGUUCUCUCCUACUGGGGACUUUAUAUUGUGGACUGUGGGAUACACGAUUGGGUUGAUUUGUAGCAUAUCAGAACCACGGAGUAUGAUGGACAAUGGAUUAGCAUUACCACUUAUGAUUGGAGCUUUGAAAACCACGCUGUAUCCACGUGAUAUAAAGUCAAGAUGUGCCAUUAUUUUAAGCAAUGGGAAUGACUUGAAACUCUAUAGGAAUAUCAGUCCAAAAAAGGUUCAAUUCCGUUCAGUAUUUAAAAAAAUAUGUGGAGUUUCGAUUUUCCUUUCUUAAUUAAAGAUACAUUAUGGGAGAUUCGAUAACGGGUUGGCAGUUCUCACUAUAAUAGUUAAUAACUAGAUAAUGUAAAGGUAAUUUGCUGAAAAUUUCAUUCAAAUUGAUCCACUAUGAACCGAGAACUAAGCGAUUGAAAUUACCGCCUAGCCUCGAUCAUGGUUACUAAAGUCAGUAUGAUAAACAGCAUAGUCUCGAUUAUCCAUUUAAUCGUUAAAUCGGGAAGGAAAGUUAUGCAGUAAAUCGGCUCAUAAUCCACUAAAGAUCGCAGGCUAGCGAUGCCAUCUAGAGUUGAUUAUGGUCUUGUUUUGUUAAUUAAUGUGUAAUUAAUAAUUUAGAUAACAUAUCAGGCCUAAAGAAAGACCUGCAAUAGGCAGAUUUAGCUCUUGCAUAAUGUAUGUUUAAAUGUUAAAUAAUCAAUCUCGGUAGAUAUUUAGUGUACAUGAGCCGUGAGCAAUUUGAUAUAUUAGCGACAAUGACAAUGGCGCAUCAAGACUUUAAGAGGGAACACAAAAACAUAUGACGCAAAGCGCGUUAUUGUGUCCCCUCCACUUAGCCCCAGAUUACUUCACGAACGAUACACCACUCUCUUUAAUGAACGGAUGCACUGGCUAGUGAAUGUCUAUCUUAUUUAAAUAUAUGAUCUAUAUUUCAUUUCGUUUUUUAUACUUUCGAUGGUCUCCACUACAUGAAGAUCUGACCGGUUGUAGUGGGAGGUCGCGUCAGUGGUCAUACGAGCAGUUUUUGACCCUAUGGCGUCAGACAUUUGAUUGACCAAUAAACGUUGAUGUUUCUAGUGGGAUAUCCACAGUUCCGUGCGCGGUACGCCAAGAACUCACCACAACAUACAAUUUCGUUGGCUAAUCUCUCACAUCAACCAGAACGCUGGUUAUAUAACAACUCUUCCAGUGUUUUAAUCAGAUUGAGUGAAUGUAUUCUUUCACAUUUGUACAUAUUAUAUCACAGAACAUGCAUCAAUUAAUAGUUUUAUCUAUAAUAUAUAUUGAAUCAUUAUGUUUUUGUUUUUGGAUGAUGUUCGAGAAUUCAAAGUUUAGAUUUCAACGAAUAAUAAUAACCUAUCUUGGUAUUUCCAGGGGUGGGAUACAAACUAGGCGUUCGUUUUUUUGUCUUUCCGUAUUCCCUUGGCACAUAUAUUUUUAAUUUUACUCUCAUAUUACUUAGUGGGGUUGGAUGGCCGAAUGGUUAGCGCGUGUGAGUUGUCUCAUAAGGUCUGUCAUUGAUUCGGCUGGCGUCGUUUCGAUUCCCCGGUUGUACAUGACAAGGAGUAGGGUCGCCUGUCCAACCUUGUGGGUUUUCACCGGGUUCUCCGGUUUCUUCCCACUACUAAGGACCCCUACGCGCAAAUGAAUUAUUGAAAUAAAAUUGAACUAUAUGUUAUCAAAAUCAAUGACCUAUAUGUUAGUUCUGAAAUGACCUAGUUUGUGUCGAGUGGACGUUACCCCCCCCCCCCCCCCCUCUCUCUCUAUCUCAUGCCACUUAGUGAAUCUAUAUAAAAGGGCUAUUAUCCAGAUGUGGAUUCACCUUGACAUUCGGAUUACGUUUUGGCAUCGUAUGAACUAUUUUGUUUUAUACUGUUUUAGUUGGCUUUGAAUGACCUUUCCCACACCGUUGACGUAGUUUACACUAAGUCACAUUUCUAUUUUAUCUUGUGUUGUGUUAGAAUGGAUAGAUAGAUGAUAACAUGUACUUUUGUUUACGUUAAAGAAGGACACACGUGUUGUGUAGACCAGCCCCCCCCCCCCGCACACACUCAUUUGGUCUAAGGGGGGGGGGGUGGACGAAUGGUAAGCGCGUGCGCGCUGUAUCAUAAAGUCUGUUAUUGAGUCAACUGGCGUGGUUUCGAUUCUCCGGUUGUACGUGUCAAUGACUCAAUGAGUAGGGUCGCCUGUCCAACCUCGAGGGUUUUCCCAGGGUCCCUACGCGCAGGUGAAUUAUUGAAAUAAAAUUGAACCAUAUGUUAGUCCCGAAAUUCCCUCGUUUGUGUCGAGUGGACGUUAAACCCCAUUUCUCUCUCUCUCUCUUUCAUUCGGUCGGUAAUGGACCAUGUCAUAUUGUGUAAGCGUCCUCUUUUUAAAUUGAAUAAAUCAUUGUACAAAUUAAAGUCUUUCAAUACAAAGUGUUUUAUGGAUUACAACUGCAGUGGAUUCACCGGUAGCCGCGGUGGAUCAUUGCGUUUGGCGCUGGAUCACUAACCAGGAGGUCUUGGGUUCGAUCCUGGUAUUGGCCGCGAAAUUGCUUCGGAAUUUUCCGGUCUGGUCUACCAGUGCAGGGCGGAGGAUCCGACAAGGAAAAGAGCUUCUAGUCUUUCGGUGCACGUUAAAGAAUCCUUGGCUGUUGAAAUUUGAUGAAACACUGCUCUACAGGCAAAAUUCUUCUCAUAGCCCAUAGCAUUGGGU